rnacentral:misc_RNA from 1 species
AAAGAAUGUUGACACUAGAAACUUGGAUGAUGUAAAAGCAAGAUUACCUGAAGAACCAAACCCAGCAAAGACAUGGAAGCUCAUUGAGAUUAAUGAUCCUUCCCGGCUUCGGUUGCUGAGGCUCUCAGCUCGUGUUAAACCAGAUAAGAUUGCAAGGUUGAUCUACACAAAUUCAGGCUCUGCCAUCUUGGCACUGGCGUUGAAUGGCAUUCACCUACUUUGGAAGUGGACGCGAACAGACCCCAAUUUAAUUGGGAAGGUGACAACCAAGAUUAACCCUCAACUGUUGCAACCAUCUUCUGGCACAUUAAUGACCAAUGAUCUAACAGAUGCUAAAUCAGAAGAGGCUGUGCCCUGC